UGCAGAUAUUCUUUAAAGGAUGGAGUGAAGUUCUGCCCAUUUUGUACUCAACCUUUCUGGGCUUUUUCUUUGAUGGUGGAGGGGAAAACGAGGAAAUGCCAACAUCAAAGCUUUCUGGUGGAGCACAAAUUCACUAUAUUUUUCAAUCAAUCUUUGUGAAGAGUUUGGAAGUUUGCAUCACACUACUUUAUGAUCUUAUCUCCAAGAAGUGGAUCCAUGUGAUGACUCAACUGAUGAAGACAUCCGCACCACUAUUCAAAAUGCUACUGGCCCUAAAAGUGCUUUAUUUGUACCAGAGGCUCAAGGGGUUUAAAAGGUUGGGUGGUUCUUUGUUAUUCUAGCAGACUCUGACGGUACAUGCACUUGUACUCUGAAAUUGUACAUGCAUCAUGCAUGUAAUUCACUCAAGGACUAAUUAAAAAUGUCUGCCAUACUGAACUACUAAAACUCUGAAGUUACACUACCAUUGAGUAAGCAAACGUUUACAACCUUCUUUCAUUAUUUUUAUUGUACUUCGGUUUUCUAUAGAAAGCUGUCAUUUAUUUUCAUGUUGUACAAAUUAUUCAAGCCAUUAAAUUUGUUUUUUUUUUUUUUUUUGAAAAUGAUGAGGUUGGAAUUCAUAAAUAUUGAUGUCUUCUUGAUUUGUUAGAACUCUUUAGCAAGCAACAACUGAUCCUAACAUAAUGGCUAUUUCGAUUCCAAGAGUAGUUGAAUAACUUGCAAUGAACUUUCUACAUUCAUUCCCAGUGAGAUUGGCAUGACAGGCUACAUUCAUUCCAGAUUUCGAUGAUACUUUGUGGUAAGUGUUGAUUGAUUGCAUUUUUAUUUCCCAUCUGCUUUUGUCUUGAUGUGCUGAGUUGUAGAUUGCAAGUAUUAUAGUACCCUAUCAUUUGUACACAUCCCUUGUUUUUAGAUCAACUCUUGAUUGUUUCUACAAAUAGUUUUAGAUUAAGAUCUAUAUUAAUAACAGAUUUUUUAUUUUAUUUUUGGUAUUUGAUUUUUUUAGAGACAAUCUAAAUCUUAUUUCAGGUAAUUCAUUGAGAACUCAGAGGUUUGCUGGCUAGUUUUGAAGCUUAAGAUUCAACUAUAUUAAUCAUUUCAAGCAGUUUAAUCCAAACUAUCCAAAGUUUAUUUCUUGAUCAAACUUUGGUUUAUACGUUAGUUUGAAUGUAAUUAUUAUAUUCACAAAAAAAGUGAGAAUUAGCUUAUAUUUUGAAAGAUUUAGCUCAUAUGAGUUGUGAGAUUUGGGAUAUA